rnacentral:rRNA from 1 species
UACGGAGGAUCCGAGCGUUAUCCGGAUUUAUUGGGUUUAAAGGGUGCGUAGGCGGCUUUUUAAGUUCAGGGGUGAAAGACGGUAGCUUAACUAUCGCAGUGCCCUUGAUACUGAAGAGCGUUGAAUGUACUAGAGGUAGGCGGAAUGUGACAAGUAGCGGUGAAAAUGCAUAGAUAUGUCACAGAACACCAAUUGCGAAGGCAGCUUACUAUGGUAUGAUUGACGCUGGAGGCACG